ensembl:snRNA U4 U4 spliceosomal RNA
AGCUUUGCGCAGUGGCAGUAUCAUAGCCAAUGAGUUUAUCCGAGACGCGAUUAUUGCUAAUUGAAAAAAUAUCCCUAUUCCUAAAUAUAUAUAGCUGUGCAAAUCUAAAUUUAUCCAUAAAUUCUUAAGUU